AGUGAACGCUGUCGGUAGGCCUAACACAUGCAAGUCGAACGGCAGCACAGUAAGAGCUUGCUCUUACGGGUGGCGAGUGGCGGACGGGUGAGGAAUACAUCGGAAUCUACUUUUUCGUGGGGGAUAACGUAGGGAAACUUACGCUUAUACCGCAUACGACCUACGGGUGAAAGCAGGGGAUCUUCGGACCUUGCGCGAUUGAAUGAGCCGAUGUCGGAUUAGCUAGUUGGCGGGGUAAAGGCCCACCAAGGCGACGAUCCGUAGCUGGUCUGAGAGGAUGAUCAGCCACACUGGAACUGAGACACGGUCCAGACUCCUACGGGAGGCAGCAGUGGGGAAUAUUGGACAAUGGGCGCAAGCCUGAUCCAGCCAUACCGCGUGGGUGAAGAAGGCCUUCGGGUUGUAAAGCCCUUUUGUUGGGAAAGAAAAGCAGCAGGUUAAUACCCCGCUGUUCUGACGGUACCCAAAGAAUAAGCACCGGCUAACUUCGUG
rnacentral:rRNA from 1 species